UGUCAUAUUCAUUAAAAAAAU
rnacentral:piRNA from 1 species